GGGUCCGAUGGUGGGUGCCAAAGGCUAAGGCUUCCUGUCUCCCAGGGUAACGUCAUUCCAGCCCUUGCUGUUCACUGAGGCGCACCGAGAGAAGUUCCAACGCAGCCGUCUCCACCAGACGGUGCAACAGUUCAAGCGCUUCAUUGAGAACUACCGGCGCCACAUCGGCUGCGUGGCCGUGUUCUACGCCAUCGCUGGGGGGCUUUUCCUGGAGAGGGCCUACUACUACGCCUUUGCCGCACACCACACGGGCAUCACGGACACCACCCGCGUGGGAAUCAUCCUGUCGCGGGGCACGGCAGCCAGCAUCUCCUUCAUGUUCUCCUACAUCCUGCUCACCAUGUGCCGCAACCUCAUCACCUUCCUGCGAGAAACCUUCCUCAACCGCUACGUACCCUUCGACGCCGCCGUGGACUUCCAUCGCCUCAUUGCCUCCACCGCCAUCGUCCUCACAGUCUUACACAGUGUGGGCCAUGUGGUGAAUGUGUACCUGUUCUCCAUCAGCCCCCUCAGCGUCCUCUCCUGCCUCUUUCCUGGCCUCUUCCAUGAUGACGGGUCUGAGUUCCCUCAGAAGUAUUACUGGUGGUUCUUCCAGACUGUACCAGGCCUCACGGGGGUUGUGCUGCUCCUGAUCCUGGCCAUCAUGUAUGUCUUUGCCUCCCACCACUUCCGCCGCCGUAGUUUCCGGGGCUUCUGGCUGACCCACCACCUCUACAUCCUGCUGUAUGUCCUGCUCAUCAUCCAUGGUAGCUUUGCUCUAAUCCAGCUGCCCCGUUUCCACAUCUUCUUCCUGGUCCCAGCAAUCAUCUAUGGGGGCGACAAGCUGGUGAGCCUGAGCCGGAAGAAGGUGGAGAUCAGCGUGGUGAAGGCGGAGCUGCUGCCCUCAG
rnacentral:sRNA from 1 species